AUUGGUUUCGACGUGGGUCAUGAAACCGGAAGGGCAUGCCGAGGGGCAGAGCACCUCGUAAAUCCAGCUGCAAAAAUAUAGUUGCCAACGACGACAACUACGCACUCGCUGCCUAAACCGCAGUAGAUUGCCGUCUGCCUGACGUGUGCUUGUACGCUCAGAUCCAGGCGUCGACCCAUACAAGAUCGCGAUGAAGUCUGUCCGGGACGGAUUCGUUAAAACCUUACGGAAUCGCUCGUUGUCUUUCCUGCCGCUCGGAUAGCAACGGGUUAAACUCAAAGAGUCGGCUACGCAUGUAGAACUGAAGGCCGAAGGCUUGCGGACGCGGGUUCGAUCA
rnacentral:tmRNA from 1 species